rnacentral:rRNA from 1 species
UUGACCUCAAAUCAGGUAGGACUACCCGCUGAACUUAAGCAUAUCAAUAAGCGGAGGAAAAGAAACUAACAAGGAUUCCCCUAGUAACUGCGAGUGAAGCGGGAAAAGCUCAAAUUUAAAAUCUGGCGGUCUUUGGCUGUCCGAGUUGUAAUCUAGAGAAGUGCUAUCCGCGCUGGACCGUGUCAAAAUUCUCCUGGAA